AAGUGGCAGGGUACUGCACUCCAGAGUUCCCAAGGAGUGGCCAACUCAGGCUGACAAAGGCUGGUGUGCAUCCCCAGUCCCUCCCUGGAGAGUUUUCUCAUCUGGUGAGUGGAGCUGGUACAGCCAGAGCCUGGGAGCUCUUGCCUAAGGAGGAAAUGGAAUCUUUAUUCUGAAGCUUCAGCUCUGACGAGAGAGUAAGAAAUGUGUCUCCCCCUCGAUGGGAACAACGUGUGCAGGGAAGGACCUACGGUGCUGUGGGCACUCCGACAGGUCCUUAGAUGAAAGCACUUCCUGCCUGUUCUGUUCAAUCCCAGUCCAGAGUUUGCUGGUUUGCUCACGCAGGUAUUUUCCUUCCUGAGAGCCAUCAAGGAUCGAGAGCAUCCUCAG